AUUGAACGCUGGCGGCAUGCCUUACACAUGCAAGUCGAACGGUAACGCGGGGCAACCUGGCGACGAGUGGCGAACGGGUGAGUAAUAUAUCGGAACGUGCCCAGUAGUGGGGGAUAGCCCGGCGAAAGCCGGAUUAAUACCGCAUGAGACCUGAGGGUGAAAGCGGGGGACUCGCAAGAGCCUCGCGCUAUUGGAGCGGCCGAUAUCAGAUUAGCUAGUUGGUGGGUAAAGGCCUACCAAGGCGACGAUCUGUAGCUGGUCUGAGAGGACGACCAGCCACACUGGGACUGAGACACGGCCCAGACUCCUACGGGAGGCAGCAGUGGGGAAUUUUGGACAAUGGGCGCAAGCCUGAUCCAGCCAUGCCGCGUGCGGGAAGAAGGCC
rnacentral:rRNA from 1 species